GUCAGCAUGGCGUUAGUGGUUUGAGUGGUAGACUAUGACUCUGGAGACUUGGGUUCAAUUCCCAGCUUGACC